rnacentral:ncRNA from 2 species
ACAACAUAUGGUGUUCACGGUCCGCAGAUUCGUCUGCGGUGAAAAGGGAACCCGGUGUGAAUCCGGGGCUGCCCCCGCAGCUGUAAGUGGUGAAGCUUCGUUCGACUAUGCCACUGACGCCAAAAGGCGUUGGGAAGGCCGAAGGAAGCAGUGACCCACGAGCCAGAAGACCUGCCGGGAACAUGGAUCGACC